rnacentral:rRNA from 1 species
AAGAUCCCUGAAAGAUGAUCAGGUGGAUAGGUCUGAGGUGGAAGCGUGGUGACACGUGGAGCUGACAGAUACUAAUCGAUCGAGGACUUAACCAA